UUUGCAAUAUUAUUCGGGCCGAGGUACGGCGGCAUGAAACUGUACAGAACAACUUUUCCAAAGUUUUCAAUCAGUUGGAGAGGGUCGACGACCAACAGCUUCGCUCUGGUUUAAAAGUUUACCUUCACAGCAUCCAAGGUAAGCAAUGCAAUAGGCCUAGCCCCAGGGCAUGCUAUUGGCUCCAAUCAACCUACUUUAUCACGCAAAAAUCGUGGGUGCAUUUACAUUGACAUUAAAUUAUAGCCUACCUUUAACGAAAAUUAACCCAUUUAAAAUUUAAUUUAAAAGUGCUGGCAGCUUGAUAUGGCAUUGCAUCUGUUCCUUUAGCCUUGCUCAAAUGAUUCAGUUACACAAUAAUUGGUUGUCAGCCUUUUUUAGUCUGUGUGCAGGGUGGUGUCUAGCUAGCUCAUAUCAUGACUCCAAUUCCGUUGCAUUUCAUUGGGUCAUUGGACGUCCCCUUUAGCCUUGUGAGGGAAAUGCCCGACGCUGCCAAAAUGAUAGAUCUAAACUAAAAUAUGCCUUGCGAUACAGUUUUGGAAACAUUUGGAACUUGACUUUCAUAUGAAUUAUAAAUACAGAAGAUACACUUACUGUAAACAGUUUAUCAAAGUUGCACCUGGCUGUGUUUUGAGUAACACGUGUUUGCAACCAGAAAUAUGGAAUGGUCCAAUGGAAAUGCCAGCACAAGGUGAGAACACACUCAUAUCUCGGCAGGAGACUGUUAUAGCCAGAUGCAACUUUGCUCAACUGCAUAUAGUAAGUGUAUCGUUUGUAUUUCAAAUAUUCGUUCUCGCUGGUAUGAAAGUUAAGUUCCAAAUAGAGUCUUGGGAUUGUAAUCCACCUGGAACCAUCUGUGGUCCAUACUUUCAGCUGAGAACCCAAAAGAGGAGCCUGUCAUGCCAAAUAGCGUCCCCCUUUACGUCACAAUAGGAUUCGAUACAUUCUAGCUUCUGUUACUAGGGCUGUUGCUUGAACUUGCAAAAUUCUGACCGGAAUACGUAAUGAACCAUAGCGUCCGUUGCUAUGCUGGUUGCUAUGCUGGUGCUUGGCUCUAUUUGACCUCGUAGGGGAUGCGGGCAGUUCGAGUUAUAUUUCACCGUUUAAACGCUCGCUUAGUCCGCGCAAAAGUAUUACCUCAAAAUUGCUCUCCAAGGAUGGUGUAUUUGACGGUGACUACCUGCUGCCUCAGAGGACUGGAAAGAGAACACUUUUUUUACCAUGUAUUUGUACAUAUUGUCAAAUAGGAAUACAUAAUUUGUUGUUUUUAUAGAUCGACGUUGCUAGCUACUGUACUUCUAUAUCUCAGCAUGCCUAGACAGACAGUUUUAUUUAGCUAAGCUAACGUUAGCUAGCUAGAUAGCAAGCAAGCUACUAUAACUGUUAUUGCAGCUUUCUGUUUGUAUGUAGCUUGCACUUCAAUGGCAUCCCUCGAGGAGAUUUUCUUUUAUCUUUCCAACCUGAGGAAGUACUAUGAAGACACCACUGAUGUCGACAAGAGGCGCAACAUUCAGAGAAAUUCAGGGUAACGUUAAGCAGUUAACUUCAAUUAGAUAACUGGACAUAUUUAGCUAUGUAUAACCAUUUUUCAACAACUAUUUUCUAUAGUAGUUGUUAGCUAUACAUAUAGUUCAGCGGAGGCUGCUGAGGGAAGGAUGGCUCAUAAUAAUGUCUGGAAUGGAGUAAAUGGAAUGGUACCAAACAACCUACUCUUCUUCUGACGUGACAUUGUCAAGGAUGUGGAUAGCUGGGCCAGUAAAAUAACCUUUUGUUUAUCAAUCACAUUCUAUUAUAUCUGAAAUGAUUAUGAUUUCAAUUAAUGUCAUAUCAGAGAGCACACAAUGUUUACAUUUGUCACUUUUGCUUAAAGGUCAGUACCCUGUCUAGCCUGCUAGAAGUUUUAGAGGGUGAAGACUGUGGCACUGGAGAUAAAGCCCAUCAAAGUUGUUUCACCAUGGCACAUGAUCGGUUCACCGUGGCACAUGAUCGGAAUGGAAACAGCUGGUGUCUUCCAGCGACCGGUCACUUUCCAAGUGGGUGGAGGCAAUGCCCAUUAAGGACGAGACUAGCGAGGCCACCUCCAAGGCGAUAGUGGACUAUCUUCAGCACCCACGGUUCUCCUGAGGUCAUCUUGAGUGACCGAGGUCAUGAACGCUGGAACAAGGUUUAAGUCGCUCUGGAUAAGAGCGUCUGCUAAAUGACUUAAAUGUAAAUGUAAGGUUUGGUGGAUGGACAAACCAGACCAUCAAGUCCCUUGAUACCAGGAAGGCUGGGAGAACAACCUGAAGGUAAUUCUCUUUGCACACAACAGCAUCCAGGCCAAGUAUGGAUGGGAGCCGCAGCUGUUGUCUAAGAUCUCUGAAACCCCACCUGAUGUGGUGGAAGUUGUCGAUCCAGAUUAGAACGCCUUCGAGUACCACUUUCAGGCACAGACUGAGAAGGAUAUUGUUACGACUUCUAGGAGCAGUGGGUGCGGAGUCAGGCGCAGAGGGUAAAGGACAACUGUAUUUAUUCCGGAGAAAAGUAGGCCACUCCAAAACACCAGGCGCAUACAAUGACCAGGACACAAACAGUCCGGAGAAAUACAGAAAAUAUCACAUCCACAAAACGAACAGAGAAACAAGCCCGCACAAAAGCCAGCAGGCUUACUGGGUUUAAAUGGCCCACAAUCACAACCUAAACCCAAAACAGGUGCAACUAAUCAGACACAACUAAAUGAAACAGAAAAGGGGAUCGUUGGCAGCUAGUAGGCCUGGCGACGACAACCGCCAAGCACCGCCGGAACAGGAAGAGGCACCAUCUUCGGCGGGAUUCGUGACAGGUGUGGAGGUUUUUGACCAGGAAAAAUUAUUGCCCGCUGUUAAUUUAUGUUGUAACGCUGCAGUAAAAUCCAUCAAAUUUUCUCACAGUAAAGUGUAACCUGUGUGUUUGCUUGUUUACUUUUCUGUCUCCUACCUUUUUCAUUUUAACUCUGCUCCUGUUCUCGAGUCCCUAGGGUUCUGCCCAACACCCAGACGUGGAUCCACCUUAUGUCCUCCAUUACCAACCACCCUCCAACUUUUCAUUACAUCAUCUACAGCUACUGUUGUUGUCAUGUUGUCUGUUAAGAGUUUUCUUGCUCUUAUCAUUCUGGGCACAUAAUAUGUGAGAUCCACAGAUGAACUAAAAACACUAGCAUUGCAAACACUCAGAACAAAGAGAGCAGCAGUGCCUGGACUUUGAGGUCUCUCUCUUCAAGGCCCCCUUCUGAGACUGGCUGCCUGUUGAGAACAAGUGACAGGCAGAAUUCUACACACCAGAAUUCAGUAUUUUAGUCUAUGAAUGCCAUGUGAGUAUACAAAAAAUAUGUGAAAAUAAAUUAAUGACAUAACUACCAAAAACUAUCAAAGUUUCAUCAUUAUUGUAAGUUGUAAGGUAUCUUUUGAUGGUAUUUAUUUGUUCCACAUUAUUCAUUGUUGUAUCCUAGAACCUACUAAUAAUAGAAAAAAUAGAGGACUACUGAAAUUAUAUUAUUUCAGUGCAGUUUAAGAUAAAAACAUGACAGCCAGACAAGCCAGUGUAUGAAUCAAAGGGAUUUGCAUAUGAAUAGAGUGGAAAUUAGCUGACUUCAUGAUCUGUAAUGUAUGUAACUUUAAUGUGUCAAGCAGAUUAUGUUUUCUUUGCCAUUUCUGCAACGUAGCAACGUUUUAAGACAGGGAUUUCAUGUUGUAAUGAUAACAAGGUGCCCACAAGUAGUUCAAAUUAAUGUUUCCAUUUUAUUAGCUAAAUAAACUUGUUUAAACAGCGAAAUUGUCUCUGAAAUCAGCCUUGUUUGCAUAGCGAUGAUGAAAAGAACGUCAUUUAGUUUGUAAUGAUCUCCAAAAUUCAAAUCAUUAGGUUGUCACCGGACACUAAUACUUUAUCGAAUACCAAUGUGACGUAGAGGGGACACUAUUUAGCAUGACAGGCCCCAUGGGUUCUCGAAAGCUAGGGUUGUCAUGUCCCAUGUCCCUUACAUGACUGACAACCUCCAUAGUUUCUAUUGAAAGUGAUGUAAUUUCAGAGAACUUAUGAUAACUGAGCAUGAAGUAAGUGUUUGAGAACCUAUUUACAAAUGGCAGAGAGAGGUUGCAGCAUCACUCUUCCCAUAAUAUGUAGGCCUGAGCCUAAAUUACAGAAAGGGAAGGAAGUUACCCUGUACAACCUCUUUAAAAUAGGCCACUGUACUCACU